GAUGAACGCUGGCGGCGUGCCUAAUACAUGCAAGUCGAGCGAACAGACGAGGAGCUUGCUCCUCUGACGUUAGCGGCGGACGGGUGAGUAACACGUGGAUAACCUACCUAUAAGACUAGGAUAACUUCGGGAAACCGGAGCUAAUACCGGAUAAUAUAUUGAACCGCAUGGUUCAAUAGUGAAAGACGGUUUUGCUGUCACUUAUAGAUGGAUCCGCGCCGCAUUAGCUAGUUGGUAAGGUAACGGCUUACCAAGGCAACGAUGCGUAGCCGACCUGAGAGGGUGAUCGGCCACACGGGAACUGAGACACGGUCCAGACUCCUACGGGAGGCAGCAGUAGGGAAUCUUCCGCAAUGGGCGAAAGCCUGACGGAGCAACGCCGCGUGAGUGAUGAAGGUCUUCGGAUCGUAAAACUCUGUUAUUAGGGAAGAACAAAUGUGUAAGUAACUAUGCACGUCUUGACGGUACCUAAUCAGAAAGCCACGGCUAACUACGUG
rnacentral:rRNA from 1 species